UACAGAGGUGGCAAGCGUUGUUCGGAAUUACUGGGCGUAAAGGGCGCGUAGGCGGUCUUGCAAGUCCUGUGUGAAAUCCCUCGGCUCAACUGAGGAACUGCACAGGAAACUGCUUGGCUUGAGUUCGGGAGAGGGAAGCGGAAUUCCGGGUGGUAGCGGUGAAAUGACGUAGAGUAUCAGGAGGAACGCCGGCGGCGAAAGCGACUCUCUGGCCUGUAACUGACGCUGAGGCGCGAAAGCUAGGGGAGCAAACGGG
rnacentral:rRNA from 1 species